rnacentral:rRNA from 1 species
GUGGGGAAUAUUGGACAAUGGGCGAAAGCCUGAUCCAGCCAUGCCGCGUGUGUGAAGAAGGUCUUCGGAUUGUAAAGCACUUUAAGUUGGGAGGAAGGGUAGUAACCUAAUACGUUGCUACUUUGACGUUACCGACAGAAUAAGCACCGGCUAACUUCGUGCCAGCAGCCGCGGUAAUACGAAGGGUGCAAGCGUUAAUCGGAAUUACUGGGCGUAAAGCGCGCGUAGGUGGUUCAGUAAGUUGGAAGUGAAAUCCCCGGGCUCAACCUGGGAACUGCUUUCAAAACUGCUGAGCUAGAGUACGGUAGAGGGUGGUGGAAUUUCCUGUGUAGCGGUGAAAUGCGUAGAUAUAGGAAGGAACACCAGUGGCGAAGGCGACUACCUGGACUGAUACUGACACUGAGGUGCGAAAGCGUGGGGAGCAAACAGGAUUAGAAACCCCAGUAGUCC